GGCCAAUCAGCGGGCUGCUGCUCCAGCGCCAGCGUAUAUAACAGCGUGAGACCCUCCUUUCCGUCUCUUCGCAUUCAAGUCUUCAACGAGAAAGGGGUGAAGCUGACAUAGAGCUCUGAAGCCAUCAGCAAUCCGGAGUGCAGUCUAUCCUCUAGGCCAUGGACAUCAUUGUAGAGCAAAUGUGUCUGGUUAAUGCUGAAGCCGGAUGACCAGAAGAUUACAUGGAUCACAUCACAUGAAGGUGUUUGGUUAAUGCUGAAGCCGGAUGACCAGAAGAUUACAUGGAUCACAUCACAUGAAGGUGAUCCUUAUGGCUGAACUAGAAGUGACUGGAUGAGGACGACUUAUGUCAAGGUAUCAAUCUGCCCAGGUUCUCGAGUCUGACUGUGGGGCUGUAUGGGUUCUCUACAUUGCUGGCUUGUGAUGGUCUGGUGACAUGUUGGAGUCCAAGUCUGGCUGAACUGAUGAGGGCCGUACCCCUGCCAACAUCAGUUAAUUAGGAAGCAUGAAAAUCUUCUGCUAUAGAAGUGACUAUCACUUCUGAGACGUGUUCAUUUUGCAAUCCUAAAGUAUGAAAUGUAUUGUGACUGUGUAAUAAAAAGAAAUGAUGAGAAAA